AGAGUUUGAUCCUGGCUCAGGACGAACGCUGGCGGCGUGCCUAAUACAUGCAAGUCGAGCGGAGGUUAUUGAGUAGUAAUACGAGAUGACCUUAGCGGCGGACGGGUGAGUAACGCGUGAGCAACCUGGCCUAUACAGGGGGAUAACAGGGAGAAAUUCCUGCUAAUACCGCAUAAGACCACAGUAUCGCAUGGUACUGGGGUCAAAGGAGAGAUUCGGUAUAGGAUGGGCUCGCGUCCCAUUAGCUAGUUGGGGGUGCAACGGACCACCAAGGCGACGAUGGGUAGCCGACCUGAGAGGGUGAUCGGCCACACUGGGACUGAGACACGGCCCAGACUCCUACGGGAGGCAGCAGUGGGGGAUAUUGCACAAUGGGGGAAACCCUGAUGCAGCGACGCCGCGUGGAGGAAGAAGGUUUUCGGAUUGUAAACUCCUGUCGUUAGGGACGAUAAUGACGGUACCUAACAAGAAAGCACCGGCUAACUACGUGCCAGCAGCCGCGGUAAAACGUAGGGUGCAAGCGUUGUCCGGAAUUACUGGGUGUAAAGGGAGCGCAGGCGGGAAGACAAGUUGGAAGUGAAAACCAUGGGCUCAACCCAUGAAUUGCUUUCAAAACUGUUUUUCUUGAGUAGUGCAGAGGUAGAUGGAAUUCCCGGUGUAGCGGUGGAAUGCGUAGAUAUCGGGAGGAACACCAGUGGCGAAGGCGGUCUACUGGGCACCAACUGACGCUGAGGCUCGAAAGCAUGGGUAGCAAACAGGAUUAGAUACCCUGGUAGUCCAUGCCGUAAACGAUGAUUACUAGGUGUUGGGGGAUUGACCCCCUCAGUGCCGCAGUUAACACAAUAAGUAAUCCACCUGGGGAGUACGACCGCAAGGUUGAAACUCAAAGGAAUUGACGGGGGCCCGCACAAGCAGUGGAGUAUGUGGUUUAAUUCGAAGCAACGCGAAGAACCUUACCAGGUCUUGACAUCCGAUGCAUAGCACAGAGAUGUGUGAAAUCCUUCGGGACAUCGAGACAGGUGGUGCAUGGUUGUCGUCAGCUCGUGUCGUGAGAUGUUGGGUUAAGUCCCGCAACGAGCGCAACCCUUAUUGCCAGUUACUACGUUAAGAGGACUCUGGCGAGACUGCCGUUGACAAAACGGAGGAAGGUGGGGAUGACGUCAAAUCAUCAUGCCCUUUAUGACCUGGGCUACACACGUACUACAAUGGCGUUAAACAAAGAGAAGCAAGACCGCGAGGUGGAGCAAAACUCAAAAACAACGUCUCAGUUCAGAUUGCAGGCGGCAACUCGCCUGCAUGAAGUCGGAAUUGCUAGUAAUCGCGGAUCAGCAUGCCGCGGUGAAUACGUUCCCGGGCCUUGUACACACCGCCCGUCA
rnacentral:rRNA from 1 species